AAAUGCAGAUUGGAGCAAUUCUUCGAUCUGUAAUUCAUUGUUUCAGAAUAUCUCAUUAUUGCACCCUGACACCUCUGAUUCACAUUCCUUGUCACUUAGAGUGUUUACAAGUAGGCCGAAGAAUAUCCCAAGUUGGUUCCACCUUCGGGGAACUGGUACAAGUGUAUUAGUCAAUUUGCCUAUGAAUUGGUAUGUAACAGAUAACUUCUUGGGAUUUGCUGUAUGUUACUCUGGCGAAUUAAAUGACAAUACAGCUCAUUUGAUUCCCUUAUGUGAUGCUGGGAUGUCGUUGAUGACCCAAAAACUUGCUUUAUCCAACCAUGCAGAAUAUCUUGAUGAUAUUAAUUUUUUGUUGGUACCUCUUGGUGGCUUAUGGGAUGCAUCUAAAGCAAAUGGAAAAACACCAAAUGACUGAGAUUAUUUGUUUAUUUUUUGGAGAAAUGAAAGAAUUUGAAGUUCGUUUGUUGUAUAAAGAUGAAGCUGAGCUUUGCAUUGGGAUAAGGAAGAGCAGAUAUGAAGAGGCCAGUUGCUCCUCUUCAAAGAAACAAAGGUCACAAGUAGAUUAAAUAUAGAUGGUACUUUGGGGAUACUGCCUAUGAAGGGAACAUGUUUUCUGAAAAAGGGACUCGCCAAAGAACUUGGAGCAGACUGGGAAGCGGAGAACAAACACGGUGAUUCUGCCUGUGAAGGGCACAUGUUUCCUCUGUUUGUAACAGAACAACUCAACUCUUGGCCCGAGAGAGAGAUUCAUGAUAGAACUUGGGUGUUAUAAGUUCACAGAGAAAAGGUAAAGUGUAUUACCCAAAGGUAGCAACUGAUCCAUGGCUUUAAAACUUACAAUUUAGUUCAUUUUGAUGCUCUCUCAAAGAGGCAGCAUGGAGUGAGACAGUGAGGGAAGCUGGAGUGAAGGAAAAUGUGAAUCUGAACUGCAACAAGAUCAGUUAUAGUAUGUAGAGCUGUUCUUAUUUGACACGAUCUUCAAGGGAGAAAGUGAGAGAGGGAAAAUGUCUUUAUUGAGUAUGCCUGGAGAUUUUAAAGUUGCUAAUGUAUUGAAUAUCGUUGGAGUCGUGGAUGUUGUCAACAGAGAAGCGACUCAUCGAGCUGCAACGAUACAUGCAAACUUGGAGUUUCACGUUACACUGCAUAUGAAGGGCACAUAUUUCCUCUGUCUGAGAAAGAGAUUCGCAAAAGAACUUGUGUAUGUAAUAAUCCGUUCUCUUAUAUAUUAGUAAAGGUGACACGACAUCUCUCUUACACUAGCUAACGGAGCAAAGGGAACUAUUUCCACGAAUCAAACGUAUUCCACUGGAGUUGUGUGAAUUAGAAUCAGAGUUGUCAAAA